rnacentral:rRNA from 1 species
GGGGAAUAUUGCGCAAUGGGGGAAACCCUGACGCAGCGACGCCGUGUGAGGGAAGAAGGCUUUCGGGUCGUAAACCUCUGUCGGGAAGGAAGAACCCCCCAGGUCCGAAUAGGGCCUGGGGCUGACGGUACUUCCAAAGGAAGCACCGGCUAACUCCGUGCCAGCAGCCGCGGUAAUACGGAGGGUGCAAGCGUUAAUCGGAAUCACUGGGCGUAAAGCGCGCGUAGGCGGCUUUUUAAGUCGGACGUGAAAUACCCGGGCUUAACUUGGGGGGUGCAUCUAAUACUGGAGGGCUAGAGUGCAGGAGAGGGAAGCGGAAUUCCUAGUGUAGCGGUGAAAUGCGUAGAUAUUAGGAGGAACACCAGUGGCGAAGGCGGCUUUCUGGACUGUAACUGACACUGAGGCACGAAAGCGUGGGGAGCAAACA